rnacentral:rRNA from 1 species
UUAUGCGAUACCUGGUGUGAAUUGCAGAAUUCAGUGAAUCAUCGAAUCUUUGAACGCACCUUGCGCUCCUUGGUAUUCCGAGGAGCAUGCCUGUUUGAGUGUCAUGAAAUUCUCAACCUUUGUUACUUUUUUGUUUCAAAGUGUUUGGAUGUGGGAGUUGCUGGCUUUUUGUGUUCAAAGAGUCAGCUCUUCUGAAAUACAUUAGUGGGACCCAUCGUUGAUUUAGCCCCUGGUGUGAUAGUUAUCUACGCCGUGGCUUAGCACGAUAUUGUGUGGUUCAGCUUUCUAACAGGACAAUUAACUGUCUUUGAUCAUUUUGACCUCAAAUCAGGUAGGACUACCCGCUGAACUUAAGCAUAUCAAUAAGCGGAGGAA